GACGAACGCUGGCGGCGUGCCUAAUACAUGCAAGUCGAGCGAAGUUUUUCUGGUGCUUGCACUAGAAAAACUUAGCGGCGAACGGGUGAGUAACACGUAAAGAACCUGCCUCAUAGACUGGGACAACUAUUGGAAACGAUAGCUAAUACCGGAUAACAUUAUUUCUCGCUUGGGAGAUAUUUAAAAUUUGGUUUUGCUAACAUAUUGAGAUGGCUUUGCGUUGCAUUAGCUAGUUGGUGGGGUAAAGGCCCACCAAGGCGACGAUGCAUAGCCGACCUGAGAGGGUGAUCGGCCACACUGGAACUGAGACACGGCCCAGACUCCUACGGGAGGCAGCAGUAGGGAAUCUUCCGCAAUGGGCGAAAGCCUGACGGAGCAACGCCGCGUGAGUGAAGAAGGAUUUCGGUUCGUAAAGCUCUGUUAUUAGGGAAGAAUAGAUAUGUAGUAACUAGACAUGUAAGUGACGGUACCUAACCAGAAAGCCACGGCUAACUACGUG
rnacentral:rRNA from 1 species